GGUUAUCUUGAAUCCAAUCGAAUUUCUUUAAACUCAAUUGAUAAUUCAUAAGUCCAAUUAUUUAUUUCAGGCCUAAUUCUUUUGUUGUAUCAUCCCAUAAGUUUAAUUUUAUCUAGUAGUGAGAUAUACAAUGAUUUCUCUCAAAGUAUCAUUGAAACUCUUUUCAAUAGAUCAGAAUAAUUUCACUCUAACUCAUCAAGGAUUGUC
rnacentral:lncRNA from 1 species